GGCACUGUGGCUGAGCGGCAAAGCACUUGGCUUCCAAACUGGGGUCCCAGGUUUGAAUCCUGGUGAGGACU
rfam:Biomphalaria glabrata isolate BB02 unplaced genomic scaffold LGTN_random_Scaffold1674, whole genome shotgun sequence.